GCUGUCAGCACAGAGCCCGACGCGGGGCUUGAACUCACGAACUGUAAGAUCACGACCUGAGCCGAAGUCGGCUGCUUAACCGACUGAGCCACCCAGGUGCCCCCCUGUGGCAUUUCUAACAAGCUUCCCUCAAAGUCUGGUCUGACAGGCGCUCUGGCAUCACAAGUUCAAAGGACUCUGGCAAAGCUGUGUUCCACAUCUCCUUAGAGCUGCCCGGUGACAUUAGCACAUUGAAGGCUCUGAUAAGUCCUGUAAUAAGGAAGUCGGUAUAAAGUGGAGUUGCCAAGUGUUCCCUGCACUUAUUGGACGGCAGGACCUCUUUUGUGAACAUCUGUGGACAGUACGUGGAAUGAAUGCCUGAAAAUACUGUGCGUCUUCACCCUGGGAGAAGAGGGGGCAAAUCACUUGAAAGGCUACUGGGCCUCACAUCCCCGUCUGCACCUCCCGCUGAGUCCGUCACAGACUUGUCUGUUAGAAAUAGGCUGCACGGAGGAAAGUGACCCGACUCCUGCUUCCGGGUCAAGUGAGAGGCCAUCCCCUUAAGCAUGGAGAGAAUUACGAAACCGUGUCAACCUGUGAGGACAUUUAUCUUCUCGGAGAAAGUCGACGGCCUAAAAAGUCACUUUAAAUGUGGCUGAGGCUGGCUGCCUCCCCUUGGAGUUUCCAUCAGUGACAACUCCCCGAUGGGACAGGAGGCAGGCAGCAGGGCCAGCAGGCUAACUCCGCCCACCAAGCCUGGAGCGCCCUGGCCUAGCCUGCGGUCCAGAUUCCGUCCAGUCUGCAGAACUCUACACGCUGUUGUGUCUCCCCUGGGUGAUGCUGUGGCCACAGAGCGUGGCACGUGUGUCACAAGAAGCCUGCAGCCCUCCCCCUAUCUUGGGGAAGCCAGGCCCCAAGGCCCAGCCCCACGGGGGUGAAGGGAGGGGAGCCCCUCCUCUGGCUUCACCCGAGCAGGGCCACAUUAUUCAAAGGCCCUUCCUCCAAAAAGCAAAACAAAAUAAAUACCACAUUUUUAUGGCA